rnacentral:rRNA from 1 species
CCUACGGGGGGCAGCAGUGGGGAAUAUUGCACAAUGGGGGAAACCCUGAUGCAGCAACGCCGCGUGAGUGAAGAAGUAUUUCGGUAUGUAAAGCUCUAUCAGCAGGGACGAAAAUGACAGUACCUGACUAAGAAGCCCCGGCUAACUACGUGACAGCAGCCGCGGUAAUACGUAGGGGGCAAGCGUUAUCCGGAUUUACUGGGUGUAAAGGGUGUGUAGGCGGUGUAGCAAGUUAGAAGUGAAAUACCUAGAGCUUAACUCAGGUGCUGCUUCUAAAACUGCUAUACUUGAGUGCAGUAGAGGAAAGUGGAAGUCCCAGUGUAGCGGUGGAAUGCGUAGAUAUUAGGAGGAACAUCAGUGGCGAAGGCGACUUUCUGGACUGUAACUGACGCUGAGGCACGAAAGUGUGGGGAGCAAACAGGAUUAGAUACCCCUGUAGUC